AGAAGGACUUGUAUUUGGUGCGACUAUCCCAAAGACCAUCUGUUUAUCAGUAUCACUAAACUUAUAUUGUUAAUGUCCUUCCUCCAUAUAAUUAUAAUUCUCUUGACAAAUCUUUACUGGCACUGUAUACUUGCCAAAAAGUACCAAGCAUUUUGGAUAUUCUAGGUGAAGAUCCUUCAAACAAUUCUAUCCCUAAAAAACGACCA
rnacentral:lncRNA from 1 species